UACGUAGGGGGCAAGCGUUAUCCGGAAUUACUGGGUGUAAAGGGUGAGUAGGCGGCAUGGUAAGCCAGAUGUGAAAGCCUUGGGCUUAACCCGAGGAUUGCAUUUGGAACUAUCAAGCUAGAGUACAGGAGAGGAAAGCGGAAUUCCUAGUGUAGCGGUGAAAUGCGUAGAUAUUAGGAAGAACACCAGUGGCGAAGGCGGCUUUCUGGACUGAAACUGACGCUGGGGCACGAAAGCGUGGGGAGCGAACAGG
rnacentral:rRNA from 1 species